GUGGAGAGUGGGUCUGAAGGGACAGAGGAAAAACCAGCAAGCACCUCCUGUUUUUUCCCACAGCCAGCACCUUGGUUCAGCCCUUACCCUUUCUUGCCUGUCCCCUGGACCCAUCAAAUCCACUGCUUUUAAUGACCAGUCUGUUUCCAAGAGGCUAUAUUCAUUCCACUUGGGACUGGGGCAUAUGCACUUGGGUAGAAGAACCAGCUGUGCAGUGUCAAGACCCUUCCCUCAGAGACCUUAUCAGUAAAAUGGCGGGUGGACUCGGGGAUGCCCGAAGACUUUUCCGGACCACGAUUUUCCGAUGCUGGACACAUAUUUAAACAUGAAGGAAUAGACUUGCGACUUUUAAGCGCAAACAAUGGGUGGAAAUGGACAGAAACUGCCUCCGUGCCCACUUGCAGCGGACUACGUAGCCCUGGCAGACAGGCAAUUGCUUCAAACAAGCGCCCUCCAAGGGCGUAAGCUAGAGGGGCCCGGGCGGGCGCUUUCCCGUGGACCCU
rnacentral:lncRNA from 1 species